rnacentral:rRNA from 1 species
CGGAGGAAAAGAAACCAACAGGGAUUGCCCUAGUAACGGCGAGUGAAGCGGCAACAGCUCAAAUUUGAAAUCUGGCGCAAGCCCGAGUUGUAAUUUGUAGAGGAUGCUUCUAGGUAGCGACCGGUCUAAGUUCCUUGGAACAGGACGUCAUAGAGGGUGAGAAUCCCGUAUGUGACCGGCCCGCACCUUCUACGUAGCUCCUUCGACGAGUCGAGUUGUUUGGGAAUGCAGCUCUAAAUGGGAGGUAAAUUUCUUCUAAAGCUAAAUACCGGCCAGAGACCGAUAGCGCACAAGUAGAGUGAUCGAAAGAUGAAAAGCACUUUGGAAAGAGAGUUAAAAAGCACGUGAAAUUGUUGAAAGGGAAGCGCUUACAACCAGACUUCUGGGCGGUGUUCCGCCGGUCUUCUGACCGGUCUACUCGCCGUCCCGAGGCCAACAUCAUCUGGGACCGCUGGAUAAGACCUCAGGAAUGUAGCUCCCCUCGGGGAGUGUUAUAGCCUGUGGUGAUGCAGCGCGUCUCGGGUGAGGUCCGCGCUUCGGCAAGGAUGUUGGCGUAAUGGUUGUCAGCGGCCCGUCUUGAAACACGGACCAAGGAGUCUAACAUCUAUGCGAGUGUUCGGGUGUCAAACCCCUACGCGUAAUGAAAGUGAACGGAGGUGGGAAGCGCAAGCUGCACCAUCGACCGAUCCUGAUGUCCUCGGAUGGAUUUGAGUAAGAGCAUAGCUGUUGGGACCCGAAAGAUGGUGAACUAUGCCUGAAUAGGGUGAAGCCAGAGGAAACUCUGGUGGAGGCUCGCAGCGGUUCUGACGUGCAAAUCGAUCGUCAAAUUUGGGUAUAGGGGCGAAAGACUAAUCGAACCAU